CUUGUGAGUGCACAUGAUCUCCCUACUGGGUGGAAUAUGAUCUCUCCAAGUGAAUGUAAUCUUCCCAGUGAGAAGACAUGAUCUAUCCCAGAGAAUGGUCAUGGUCUGUCUCAGGAGUGGACUUGAUCUCAGUGAGUGGUCACCUAUUUACUCUGUGCCCUUAUGAUGCUGACUCUGACUCAAGCACAGACAGUAAUCACAUUAGCACCACACUGGAUGCACAGUGAUAGUGAAGGAGCUCUGAAAAAAAAUGUAGACAUCAUAUGGUGGUUGAAAUCACCAGAAACAGAGCUACAGAAGACAUGUGAGAGGAACUGAGAGCCUGAGAGAGGCAAGCAAGAAACCCAGUCCAGAAGAACCGAGGAGAAAGCCUGCAGCAAGCUCCAGGUUGAUGCUACUUCCAGCCCUUGUGGACUGUCUCUGGCUCGGUGACUGAGGAGCUGAAGAAACAUUUUGUGUUCAUCUCCAGCAACAUCCAUCCCUGGAAGUUACUUAACCCCAGCUUAAUGAGGAUAUAGACGUCAUCAAGCUGCUUCUCCCUCAGCCUGGGAAAUCGGCAGUGCAAGAGCUGUCCUUGGCUCAUCUCUGACCAGCUCCCUCUCCAGCUAGCAGCCCAACAGUGCAAAUCACACAUCAACUUCACUGAGGCUGGUGCUAUCAAUGUUGCAUUGAGAGGAAAAAGUCUAGAAGAUAGGGCUUCCUGAGCUGCAAUGGGAAAGUCUUGUAAAGAUCAAUCAACAGUGGUAAAGUCACAAUCUAUAAUGAAAUUGUAGGCACAGGGGACAGAAUGGUAGAAGUUACCAGAGAAAGAUAACACUGGAUCAUGAAGACACAAGACACUAUCAGCAUUCCUGUACCUGCCACAGGCAGCUUCGUCAGGAGUCAAUGCACUGGCCAUUUAUCUCCAUUCCCCAUCAGAGUGGCCUAGACCAUGUUGCUUUAGUGAGAUGGACUUUUCUUGCCAGCAAAGGAUGAUUACACCAUGGCCAUGCUGUCAAGUUAGAGAGGAAUUCUGUUCUCAGAAUUGGACUAUGGUUGGACAAGAGCCAGAGGAUUCCUUCUGAACUGAAGAGAAGGGGACAAAAUACUAGUGGAGGAUCUCACAGCUACUUAGGCCAAAUCCUUUGAAGUCCAACAUAGCCAAGAGCAGUUUCCUGUUGGAGUGGGAGAAGAGGUCACCAAUGCAGGGUUCUGGGUCCAUCUCUUGUAACAUUGGGUGCUGAAUGUAAUAAAAGCUUCAACUACAGGGAGAAA